GACGAACUGUGCAAACGUUAUUCGGAAUCACUGGGCUUGAAGAGUGCGUAGGCGGUUUGUAAGUAGGGUGUGAAAGCCCCCGGCUCAACCGGGGAAUUGCGCCUUAAACUGCAAGGCUGGAGUGAGGUAGGGGUGUGUGGAACUUCCAGUGGAGCGGUGAAAUGUGUUGAUAUUGGAAGGAACGCCGGUGGCGAAGGCGGCAUCCUGGACCGAGAUUGACGCUGAUGAGCGAAAGCUAGGGGAGCAAACGGG
rnacentral:rRNA from 1 species